rnacentral:rRNA from 1 species
UACGAAGGGGCGAGCGUUGUUCGGAUUUACUGGGCGUAAAGGGCGCGUAGGCGGCCCGUUUUGUCAGGCGUGAAAUCCCUGGGCUCAACCCAGGAACUGCGUCCGAUACUGGCAGGCUUGAAUUCGGGAGAGGGAUGCGGAAUUCCAGGUGUAGCGGUGAAAUGCGUAGAUAUCUGGAGGAACACCGGUGGCGAAGGCGGCAUCCUGGACCGAUAUUGACGCUGAGGCGCGAAAGCCAGGGGAGCAAACGGG